AGGUGGUGCAUGGUUGUCGUCAGCUCGUGUCGUGAGAUGUUGGGUUAAGUCCCGCAACGAGCGCAACCCUAUUGCUAGUUACCAUCAUUAAGUUGGGGACUCUAGCGAGACUGCCAGUGAUAAACUGGAGGAAGGUGGGGAUGACGUCAAAUCAUCAUGCCCCUUAUGACCUGGGCUACAAACGUGAUACAAUGGCUGGAACAAAGGGAUGCGAAGCAGUGAUGUGGAGCGAAACCCAUAAAAACAGUCUCAGUUCGGAUUGAAGUCUGCAACUCGACUUCAUGAAGUCGGAAUCGCUAGUAAUCGCGGAUCAGAACGCCGCGGUGAAUACGUUCUCGGGCCUU
rnacentral:rRNA from 1 species